UAGAAUAGCUACAGGGUGCUACAGAUGGG
rnacentral:piRNA from 1 species